rnacentral:rRNA from 1 species
UACGUAGGGACCAAGCGUUGUUCGGAUUUACUGGGCGUAAAGGGCGCGUAGGCGGCGUGUUAAGUCAGCUGUGAAAUCUCCGGGCUUAACUCGGAACGGUCAAGUGAUACUGCUUUGCUAGAGUGCGGAAGGGGCAAUCGGAAUUCUCGGUGUAGCGGUGAAAUGCGUAGAUAUCGAGAGGAACACCUGAGGUGAAGACGGGUUGCUGGGCCGACACUGACGCUGACAGCGCGAAAGCCAGGGGAGCAAACGGG